GGGUUGUGAGGUUAAGCGACUAAGCGUACACGGUGGAUGCCCUGGCAGUCAGAGGCGAUGAAGGACGUGCUAAUCUGCGAUAAGCGUCGGUAAGGUGAUAUGAACCGUUAUAACCGGCGAUUUCCGAAUGGGGAAACCCAGUGUGAUUCGUCACACUAUCAUUAACUGAAUCCAUAGGUUAAUGAGGCGAACCGGGGGAACUGAAACAUCUAAGUACCCCGAGGAAAAGAAAUCAACCGAGAUUCCCCCAGUAGCGGCGAGCGAACGGGGAGCAGCCCAGAGCCUGAAUCAGUGUGUGUGUUAGUGGAAGCGUCUGGAAAGGCGCGCGAUACAGGGUGACAGCCCCGUACACAAAAAUGCACAUGCUGUGAGCUCGAUGAGUAGGGCGGGACACGUGGUAUCCUGUCUGAAUAUGGGGGGACCAUCCUCCAAGGCUAAAUACUCCUGACUGACCGAUAGUGAACCAGUACCGUGAGGGAAAGGCGAAAAGAACCCCGGCGAGGGGAGUGAAAAAGAACCUGAAACCGUGUACGUACAAGCAGUGGGAGCACGCUUCGGCGUGUGACUGCGUACCUUUUGUAUAAUGGGUCAGCGACUUAUAUUCUGUAGCAAGGUUAACCGAAUAGGGGAGCCGAAGGGAAACCGAGUCUUAACUGGGCGUUAAGUUGCAGGGUAUAGACCCGAAACCCGGUGAUCUAGCCAUGGGCAGGUUGAAGGUUGGGUAACACUAACUGGAGGACCGAACCGACUAAUGUUGAAAAAUUAGCGGAUGACUUGUGGCUGGGGGUGAAAGGCCAAUCAAACCGGGAGAUAGCUGGUUCUCCCCGAAAGCUAUUUAGGUAGCGCCUCGUG
rnacentral:rRNA from 1 species